CGGCGGCGGCGUAGAAGAGCGAGGCGCGCGAGGCGGUGAAUGCGGCGGCGGACUUGUCCUUGGCGGCGGCCGGCGGGGACGGUGGCGGGAGCUUCUCGGUCUUGAUUUGGAGGCGCAUGCCGCCGAAGCAGUAGCCGUAGCUGCAGAUGAAGUAGUAGGUCUUGGUCUCGUUGAGCUCGAAGGCGUAGGUGCGGCCCUUGCUGUAGUUGGAGAUGGCGUUGGUGGCGUCGCACGUAUUGUACCCCGCCGCGUCCACCUGGAUCACGUCCGCCUGCCCCGCCGUGUAGUAGAACACUGCCCACAUCCCAAAUCAGAGAUGAGAAGAAUCAAAAUCAAACCAAAUGAGAAAUCAAGCGUUUCAUCUGCCAGAUCUGGGCACACGAGAGGCGGGUGAAGCAGG
rnacentral:lncRNA from 1 species